UACGUAGGGUGCAAGCGUUAAUCGGAAUUACUGGGCGUAAAGCGUGCGCAGGCGGUUGUGUAAGACAGAUGUGAAAUCCCCGGGCUCAACCUGGGAACUGCAUUUGUGACUGCACGGCUGGAGUGCGGCAGAGGGGGAUGGAAUUCCGCGUGUAGCAGUGAAAUGCGUAGAUAUCGGAAGGAACACCAGUGGCGAAAGCGGCUUCCUGGUCCAGCACCGACGUUCAGGCACGAAAGCGUGGGGAGCAAACAGG
rnacentral:rRNA from 1 species